rnacentral:rRNA from 1 species
GAAUAAAUUUACUUAAUUUAUAAUUUUGUAUAUCGUUGUUAGAAAAAUAUUUUUUAAUAAAAUUAAUAUUUAAAAAUUAAAAUUAAAAAUUUAAAUCAGAUCAAGAUGCAGAUUAUAAUUAAGAAUAUAAUGGAUUACAAUAAAUUUAUUUAAAUGGAUUUUAAUUUGUAAUAAUUAAUUAAAGGUGGAUUUAAAUGUAAUUUUAUUUAAUUUAGUAAAAUGAUUUAAAAUUAAAAUAUGU